AUCCCCUGACGAUAUGGCCGCAACAUGUUCCAGUAAGAAGCUCAAUCCGUGGUGUGAUUUUGAGCCAGCUGUUACGAUUAACCUGGCUCUAGGACAUCUGCUGAUAAUAUUUAUUUUCUAAAUCAUCUAUGUGAUGACGUCGACCAUUCCUGUGCACCUGUCCAACUCCUGUUUUCUACUCCUUGAUUUCCAUGUAUAUACAGCUUGAGAUGGUUUGAUUUUCUUUUUUGAUCAAGCUAUCUGAAUCGUCUUGUUCUCGAAACAUCCCUAUAAUGUGGUUUAUUUUUUUUACCGUGUAUUAAACCAAAUGUUAGGUGUAGGCAAUGAGCUCAAGUGUUCAUUUAUCAUCAGUUCAUGUUUCAAGCUUUGUGAAUCCCUUCUUUCAUCACAAAUACAUUAAGUAAUAAUUUUUGCAAUCAAGUAGUAAUAUCCCAUUUUUUAUGACUACGUGGUUUGUCAUGUCAUGCUCAUAAGUAAGAAUAUUAAGUUUCUUUGAUUUGUGAUUGUUGAAUGACUAUGUGGUUUGUCAUGUCAUGCUCAUAAGUAAGAAUAUUAAGUUUCUUUGAUUUGUGAAUGUUGAAUGACUAUGAUUCUGAACGUUUACAUCAACCGAUGAGAAAAAAACAACCAUCAGCAGCACUGAGAUUCUGCCUUAUGGUUUGUACUGGAUUGAACUCUAAUAAAUUUGGACUUGUGCAUUUCAGGGUUCCAAUGGAUGAUGCUAAAUUAAUUCUUCAGGUCUAUGAUGCUAAAUUGGUUAGUCCAUGUUUUGCACUGAUAUUAUCACUGAUCUGUAAUUGUUCUUGCAGAACUCUUAAGGAUCAUCUGAAGAUUGAAUUUGAAAGAGCAGUGGACUGAUGUGCUACUUCAUUUUAUUACUUUGCAUGCUCUGAGAUCAACAAUCUCUCAUGAUAGAUAGCAUAUUACGUAAUGCUGGAGACGUGGAUAGAGAUUAGUACAUUCAUUACAUAUGAUAGAUAGCAUAUCCCAUUUUUGAUGACUAUGUGGUUUGUCAUGUCAUGCACAUAAGUAAGAAUAUUAGGUUGCUUUGAUUUGUGAAUGUUCAAUGACUAUGAUUCUGAAGGUUUAAUCAAAUGGUACCUUUUUUUUUCUAAAGGGUUUCAGCAAUCCAUAUUAUUAUCCAUUUACUGUUAGUGCCACUAAUCAUGGUUGCUGCUCUUUCAAAUAUGAUGCUGUGCAGCAUGGAAACAAAAAUUGGUUUCUCUUUCAUGUUAACAGAAGCUAUGAACCAUCCUAAUACUAAUUUAUCAAUGGCUAUUAUGCAUCUGUUCAAUAGUGACUCGAUCAGUUAUGUGAUCUACAUCAGUGAGAUAACCGAGAUCAAAUUAUUAUGUGCAUGUGUGACAAAAUAUUUGCUGUUUAAUUUUCCUUCCACCCACUAUAGCAUACAUCAGUGAUAUAAUUGAAAUCAAAUUAUUAAUGUGCAUGUGUGACAAAAAAAAGAAGUUAUUAUCUGCAUGUGUUUCUCAAAUUUAGAUAGCAGGCCUAAUCUUUUAUCGAGCUAGGAGAAGCCCUGAGUGCCCUGGUUAGGAACAACCUGGAGCUAUGGUUGAUGAAUCAUGAGUAAAGAGUUUUCGGUUCUGUCAGAAUGAAAAAUGCCUGACCAUAGCUCUGAAGAUGAGUACAUCUUUUGCAAGUCUUGAUCUGUGCACCUCUUCAGCUGACUGCCAGCAUGAAAAAAAUAUGAUUAUGAUUAGGCUUUUUGCAAAACUUGGAUUUGUGCACCUUUUUAAUUAGGGAUGGAUGGCAAUAUGCCAAUAUGAUUGCUGUAUAGUAGCUUGAGGCUUUGAGGUUGAUGAAGGGUACAGUGCUUCUUCCUGACUUUUUUUUUGUUUCAAAAUAGCUUUCUCGGUGCCUUUUUGUUUGCUUAUGAAUUUAUAGCAUUUGUGUAGAGUUAAUGAUUUUAUAUGUCAUUAUAAAUCAGUUCUUUCAUGACCCAAAUAAAAAUCUAACUCUAAAGCUACAAUUUUAUUAUCGUUUUUUGUGAACCUAAAUAUACAAUUACCCACAGAUUUGUAUCAGGAGAAACAAUCUCAUUAUCCUUAAAAUUAUCUAGGUAUUCAAUAUGAAUUUUAUAUGUGAGCAUGAUCAUAUGUUCAGAUUGAUUUCGUUUAAGUUUACAUACUGAUAUUAAUUUGAUGAUCUACUAAGUUCGAAUGCCUUAGAAGAAAAUAAUUAUGCCUUUUAUUUAUUCUUCUGACACAGUCCAAGUCUGUUUGGAGAAGGAAACAGGCUAGGAAAAAAAGUGUGAUCAUGGUCCGCUGCAAGAAAAGAGGUGCAUUUCGUACUAUACUUCUUUUCUCUAUUGGAUCAUUUAGUGUGAAAAUCCAACAUUUUUUUGGCUCUAAGUGAACAGAUGUUUUUUUAAAGGGCUCGGGUCAUGAAAAUUGAACUGUAAUUAUACAAUGGUUAUUGUUAUUACUGUUGCAACCGGACGCCAUUUGAUGUUAUGCUUGGACGGAUGAACACAUUCAGAUUUAUUAUUACUUGGAGACAAGAUGCCAAAUAUAUGUUCUGGUCAUCCAUGGGAACCGUUUGGGAGGGUUGUGUUUGCACACGCUUUUGCUUGUACAUAAAGAUUUAUGUUCUAGAAACCAGUGGAAAUCAUUUUUGGUCGGCAAUUGACUGUCGUAAGCUGAAUCAUUUUUGGCAAUGGGAAUGAGAUCAAUUUGCACACAUUUAAUUAUAGGUAUUUGCUGUGUAGCAUGCAUUGGUUUGUACUUGUGCAUUAAUCUUGAAGUUCACUGGUCUACGAGGGAAACUUCGUUGGAGGGCGGCAACUGUCAUGGUUCAUGGAUGCAUACGAGCACAACGCCACCUGGUGGCUGACAAGCCGGCAAGUACGAGAAAAGCAACAAUGGGAAUCUGGAGCACAAGUCAUCAAUGGCGAUCUGCAGAAGAUAAAUCAAACCUGUGAUCUGAAUGAAGCUCAUAGUUUUUCCCAACUCCUUAGUACUACUACUUGCUAGCUGAUUCUGAUUAGAUAUAAUUGUUGAUGGUUUCGAAUUAAUUUCUAAACAAUAUGAUAUUUUGAACUUUUCCUUAAAAAUAUUUGAAAUAUGACAUUCAUCAAAUUAAAGCUCAAUUGGACUAUAUCUGUGAAAAUUAAUUUGACUAACAUUUCUUAUGAAAUUUCAGACUUUGGUGCGUCUUAUAGUCACAAUGUAGCAAGACUUGUUCAGUCUGGAUUGUAAACUCUGGAAAAUGGUUUGGGGUGGUUACCUGCUGUUAAUUCAUUCUAUAAUUAAAAUUUUAAUUAUCUUCAAUUUCCUUUUUAUGAGUCUUAUAUCUAUAACUCUUUCCAUGCUUGCUUGCCAAAACAUAUAAUGCCUUUUGUUUGUUCAUGUUACUAACAUCCAAAAUUUGUAAUUAUUUUGCGUGCUAUAUUAAGUUUUCUAUUCCAAGAAAUUUACACUCAUUGAUUAUUUAACAUCAUUUGACCCAUAGUGAUUUUAAAUUUAUGUAUAAUUUUUCCCGUUGCAACGCACGGGCACCCAACUAGUAGGAGUACUACAUAUAUAACUUAAUAUCAACUUGGUAUAUAUUUGUAAUUAAACUCAUAUUUUGGAAGUUUUAAAUCAUGAAAAAUGUUAUAAUCAAGAUUCCAAACCAAGCACAAAUUGGUAGUUAACAUUUAACAAAGGGAAAAGGAAGAACAAAAAUAGUAGAAUAAUUUUGACGAUUGUUUUCCCUCAAAAUUUGCUCUCAAAUCUAUCCUAAACCGGAUUAAAUUGUAUUUACAAAUGUCAUAAACCAACUUGGAUUGGAAGUUCCAGUCUCUAAUUCGAAAAUUCCAAUAUGAUAAGAAAGUCCAAAUUCCUCAAUUCUCAAGCUCUCUGUUUAAUUAAAAUAUUUUGGAUGAAAGGUCCUAUUUUUCAUCGGGAAAGUAUCAUACAUUUCGUCCUUAUCCAAAACUCCAAGCUAUCUCCUCCACCACACAUUCCCUUCCUUAUUUUUUUUCUUUUCCUCUUACUCUCUAUAGUCUCAAAGACACUGCAUUGCCACCAUUGCCGGGUGUAGUGGCAGAGACAGAAAUUAACAAAUCAUAGAGUUGGGUAGGGCUCAACUAAUGAAGUUUUUUUUUUCAAAAAAUUACAUGGUGAAUUAAGAGAAUUUAAGCAUGAUUAUGAAGGCAAGCCUACGGCUCAAGCCCAAGCUUCCCUAGGCUUGCCUCUACUUCUGCCGGGUGUUAUGAGAGAGGCCAAAGCUAUUGUUGUCGGUGGCUACACGUAUUGCAGUGGUAGGCGGUGUUGAUGGCAGUGUUGGACUUGGCAACCGAUAGGGACCGGAUGCGGACACUGCUGGUCCUAGCUAAGGUUGCCUGCCUCGUGCCACUACUCAUCUAUGUCAUUCCCUAGACAUCACCUCCUGCUGCCGCAUCAGCCACUUAGUAGUUUCGGCGGUUGGAGUAUGAGAAGAAGACGGUAGUGGUUUUAUUUUGUUAGAGUUUUAGCGAUGUUGCAGUCUAUUGUUUAUCUUAUUGCACUUUAUUGUAUCAAGGUGUUUCAUUUUGUUUUGAAUCGAUGUUGCAUCUACUGAUUCUUCGUGUUGUAGUCAGUAUGUUUAAAAUGUUGAUUUAGUUGAAACACUUUCGUUCAAGUGAUGAAACAUUUUUUCCCGAUUGAUAAAAUAUAUGAAACAUUUUUCAUCGAGUAAUGCAACAUGUGAAACAUUUUGCAACAAUAUAGUGUAACACCUUCUGGUGUUUUAAUGAAUAUUGGACGUCUGAUUUGUAGCGCUCUCCAGAGUUCAGUUCUGGUAUGAAACCCAGUGUUUUAAAUCGCCGGCUAAGACAUUUAGCAAUUGGUCUUCUCAAAUAGCUAAUAGCGGGCUAAAUGGGGCUAGAGCAUCUAAAUUAUACAUGAGAGCAAAUAGCUAGAUCCUCAAACAACUAUAUCCAGAGAUAGCGGAAUGGCUCUAUGUCGGUGUGUUGUGGUGGAGGCAAAGUAGCUUGCCAGGGGUGGUUUCUUGGUUAUUUUGGUUGUCUCGUUUAUGGUUUGAUCAUAGGAAGUUGGAGCUUCUCUUUGGGCUUGACAAUGAUGAGUUGUGUUUGAGCUUCAAUUAUGCUGCCGCAAGUGUAUAGUUAGUUCUUUGUGUGGUUUUCUUUGCCAGUUUUACCCAAUUACCUGUGCAUUUAUGAGGUUUUUGUUCCUGGUUUACCCUAAAACAUGAGUCCCAUCAUCUUUUAAGGUUUAUCCUAAAAAUGACGACUGGAUUGUUUUGGCCAUUGGAUAUGUUUGUGUUUCCUAAUCGCUUCUGCUUCAGAAAGGAGAUACAAAAAGAGAGUGAGAAGCAUGGGCUGGGCUGCGCCUUGUCAAACUUCACCACCCCAAGCCUCUCAAAGCCUAGCUACGCCAUCUACUGCUUCAUACCAUUGCUAGCUACCACUGUUGUCGCCACACAGUGUAGCCACCACCACCAUGGGCUGCGCUAAUGCUUACCUCUUCUCUGCUUUCUUGUCUGCUCGCUGUUGCUGUUUUUGCUGGCCAAUAACAGGGAAAGGGGUAAGGAAGGGAGAGAAGAAGAAAAGGAAAAUUAGGGGAUUUUGUGGAAUUAUAGGAUUGGUACCAAUGUGGUACUCAAGUUUAUGACAAACUACUUGUUGUGAUAAAUGGACUAGUUUGCUCUAUUUAUUUUCUUUCAUUUUCCUUAACUUAUGCAUUAAUGCUACCAUUCUAGUUAUAUAUGCAAGUUUCAAGUUGAUAUUAAUGUAAAUGAUGCUCUUAUUGUUUUAUGAUUCUAUAUUCUCAAUUUGGUUAUGUAAUUCAAGUGCCAUAGGUAACCAUGAUGGCGCCAUUUGGUUAUUUAUUCAGAAUCCUUGAGUAAGCAUUGGUGAUCUUGCCCAUUUCUUGUGGUAGUUUGUUAUAUGAAAGAGAAAAAUAAUGUUUUUAGGUCAUUCCUUAUCAGUAGUUGUCAUGGUUACGAAUAAGGCAUACCCUCUAUUCUACUAGUCAUGGAAUAUACGGAUAUGGCAUACCUUCGUAUGUAUGAUAAAGCUCCGUAUGCGAUAAGGACAUCGACAAGAGAUUAUGGAAAUAAUCCUCAUGGGCAAGUGCAUGACAGAGUACUACUCGGAAAGGAUUCUGAUAUAUCAUAUCGUGCAGUGUCUGGGGUCUCUGAGUUCUACUUGGAGACCAAGAGAAUUCACAAUAUAAAUACAUACCCCCUGAGGGUCCAAGGCAUCGAAUCAUAACACCAAUAACCCGUCACCAUAGAAGUAAUCCAGAAGACUUGAAGCCUGCUCGCCAGUAGAUCUUGUCGAGAAUCUCUUGACAAGGAUCUUGCUUGUAAUCUUGUAAUCAGUUGUUCUCUAUUGUACUAUGUGGUUUCCAUAUCAAUCUCAUAAAACCGGAUUAGAGCUAUUACCUUACAAGGGAUCUGAACUAGUAUAAUCCUUGUCUCUUUGUUUGCUUGACGUCAAAUCGUGUAGAUCCUCGUAUCAACAUACCCCAAUACUCUCAUCAUCCGUUCUACAGGUAUCCCCCGUCGAUAGUGGAGUGCCAGGUAGGGGAACUUGGUGCACAAGGUUCUACCGAGAUGAUUUCAAGCUUCCCCGACGUCUGCAUCAGCACUAGCUUCGGCCCAGGAGAUCCAACCCAGACGUCGCUAGUGUGGACUCAAGUUGGAUCCAUCGUCUUUC